GCCGAAGUGGUGGAAUUGGUAGACGCGCUGGACUCAAAAUUCAGUGGGGGUAACCCCGUGCCGGUUCGAUUCCGGCCUUCGGUA
rnacentral:tRNA from 1 species